UGUGGUCGAAGUUUGUUCCCCGGACUCGGUGAAGCUGGACUUGAGACGGCGUCUGCUGCAAGUGGCCCUGGAAACACCAACAUCAAGUAGAAGAAAAAAAAUAACUUUGUUAUACUGAACAUUGUUCACUACUGUUACCCACAACAACAUGAAUAAACUGCUGUUCUACUGAAGUUGCUAAUUCAAGUUGCCCAUAUUUAUGAAGUAACAAACUAGAAAUGAGUGGACACAAGUCAUUCACUCUUAGUGUUAAUUCUAAGGUUGCUGUGGCAGCAGCCCUUGGAGCUGGAGUGGUUGUGGGGGCCGGCACAGCAUAUCUUCUCACCCGCAUCAGUGAGCACACCCGUCUCACACAACAGAUUUCCAGUCUUCAUGCCACUAUUUUAGAAGUUAAAGACAUUGCUUCAUUAGAAACAGGUGAUAUGAGAAAGCUAAGCUGUCAGAUCAGUCGAUCUGCUGAACAUUUUUUGUUUUUCAUUUUUAAUGGUCUAUCAUUUUAUUGUACAUUAAGAUACUUGAUCUGGGCGUUCAAAUUAUAUGCAG